GUUUGUUGUUUUUUGGGGAGUUCGUGUAUACAUCUUACCGGGCAGCAUUAGAAUGUGUUAGAGCUCUAAUACUGUCAGGUAAAGAUGUCCUCCGAACUCCCGUUCGUCAGAAAGAAGAA
rnacentral:precursor_RNA from 12 species